rnacentral:rRNA from 1 species
CCUACGGGUUGCAGCAGUGGGGAAUAUUGCACAAUGGGCGCAAGCCUGAUGCAGCCAUGCCGCGUGUAUGAAGAAGGCCUUCGGGUUGUAAAGUACUUUCAGCGAGGAGGAAGGCAUUAAGGUUAAUAACCUUAGUGAUUGACGUUACUCGCAGAAGAAGCACCGGCUAACUCCGUGCCAGCAGCCGCGGUAAUACGGAGGGUGCAAGCGUUAAUCGGAAUUACUGGGCGUAAAGCGCACGCAGGCGGUGUGUCAAGUCGGAUGUGAAAUCCCCGGGCUCAACCUGGGAACUGCAUUCGAAACUGGCAGGCUAGAGUCUUGUAGAGGGGGGUAGGAUUCCAGGUGUAGCGGUGAAAUGCGUAGAGAUCUGGAGGAAUGCCGGUGGCGAAGGCGGCCCCCUGGACGAAGACUGACGCUCAGGUGCGAAAGCGUGGGGAGCAAACAGGAUUAGAUACCCGAGUAGUC